CUGAACCACAAUGGGUCAUUCUUGCCUUGAAAAGAAACCAAGAUAAAAGGAAACAGCUCUCAGAACAAAACCAGAGAUUCAUUUCCCCAUUUUUCCUCUCUUUAAUCAUCCAAACUUGAACUGAGGAGCACUGCUGGCUUGAAAAUGAUCCAAGAACAAAAGAAACAACUCUCCAAGGUCAUACACCAAACAAAAACUGAGAAACAUUUGUAUGUUUGCUUUUUUUUUUCUCUUCGGAACUGAAUCUGGGCUCUAACUUUGGAUUUUUAGUGGACAUCCUUUCUGGAUUCCCAGCUCCAUCUUCCUCAAACCUCUUCCCAUAUCCCUGCUUCCUUUAAAAAUUUCCCUAAGAGAAAGAAAAAUACCGUAUGAUAUCACUCAUAUGUGGAAUCUAAAAAAAAAAACAAAACAGAAAAAAGAGGACACUAAUGAACUCGUCUACAAAACAGAAACAGACUCGCAGACAUAUUAAACAAUCUUACAGGUUACCAGGGGAAAGGGAGUGGGAAGGGAUAAAUUUGGGUGUUUGAGAUUUGUAAAUGUUAACCACUAUAUAUAAAAAUAGAUUAAAAAAAACAAAUUUCUUCUGUACAGCACAGGGAACUAUAUUCAGUAUCUUGUAAUAACCUUUAAUGAAAAAGAAUAUGAAAACAAAUAUAUGUAUAUAUAUGCAUGACUGGGACAUUAUGCUGUACACCAGAAAUUGACACAUUG